GGUAAUGUGGACGAGUGGUCUAAGACUCUGGUUUCAGCUACCAGUCAUUUCGAUGGCGUGGGUUCGAAUUCCACCACUGCCA
rnacentral:tRNA from 1 species